rnacentral:rRNA from 1 species
AAAGACGGUCUUGCUGUCACUUAUAGAUGGAUCCGCGCUGCAUUAGCUAGUUGGUAAGGUAACGGCUUACCAAGGCAACGAUGCAUAGCCGACCUGAGAGGGUGAUCGGCCACACUGGAACUGAGACACGGUCCAGACUCCUACGGGAGGCAGCAGUAGGGAAUCUUCCGCAAUGGGCGAAAGCCUGACGGAGCAACGCCGCGUGAGUGAUGAAGGUCUUCGGAUCGUAAAACUCUGUUAUUAGGGAAGAACAUAUGUGUAAGUAACUGUGCACAUCUUGACGGUACCUAAUCAGAAAGCCACGGCUAACUACGUGCCAGCAGCCGCGGUAAUACGUAGGUGGCAAGCGUUAUCCGGAAUUAUUGGGCGUAAAGCGCGCGUAGGCGGUUUUUUAAGUCUGAUGUGAAAGCCCACGGCUCAACCGUGGAGGGUCAUUGGAAACUGGAAAACUUGAGUGCAGAAGAGGAAAGUGGAAUUCCAUGUGUAGCGGUGAAAUGCGCAGAGAUAUGGAGGAACACCAGUGGCGAAGGCG